rnacentral:lncRNA from 10 species
CCUCCUCAGUCAUGUGGAUGUGCAUUGAGUUGACAGAGAAGAGCUUGAAUCAUCAACAUGGCGUGAGUGACCACAUCCCUCACUCUGAGCCCCACUCCACAGCAGAUGACUCUGAAUCGCCCCGGCUAACGGCGUGCCCAGCAUCCUGAUGCUCUGAUUAGUCCUGAAUCACCCGAGGGCGGGCGGUGCGGUGGCUGGGCUGUCUCAGAGGGCAUCGCGGGCUGGGUGGACGAGGCUGGCCCAGAAGAGGGCAACAAGCAUUUGACAGGGAGUGGCAGGCUACCAUCUUGCCUCUUCUGCAGUUUGCGACACUUAGGGUCAUGAGUGUUUUUCCUCACACUAAGGAAGGAGACCACUACUCCUCCUGAUGCCCUCCUUCCCCCCACCUUGCCUAGUUCACAAAACAGGAAGAGAGAAAAAGCAAAAAGUUGGAAAAAAACAAAAGUAAGAUAAAUAGCCAGAUAACCUUGGCACCACCACCCGGCCCUAGGAGUUAAAAAAAGUGAUAAUAAUAACAUCAACCCCUGACCUAAACUACUUGUGUAAAUUCCAGACACUGUAUGAAAAAAGCAUUGUAAAACUUUCUGUUCUGUUAGCUGAUGCCUGUAGCCCCCAGUCACGUUUCCCACGCUUGCUUGAUGUACUACGACCCUUUCACGUGGACCCCUUAAAGUUGUAUGCCUUUAAAAAGGCCAAGAAUUUCUUUUUCAGGGAGCUCAGCUCUUAAGACUCAAGUCUGCCAAUGCUCCUGGCUGAAUAAAAACCUCUUCCUUCUUUAAUCCGGUGUUUGAGGAGUUUUGUCUGCGGCUUGUCCUGCUACAAUACAGUGGCCCGAAAGGCAAGGAAACUCCCGCAAGCGUUCAGAAAGGCUGCGGGUUUUUCAGGUAACAUUUCUGCAGCCACUGAUGUCUGACCCAAAGAGCUCUGAAUGCUUGCCAGAGAGAUGUGUAGUUCUAAUCCCAAAGCCCUGAAUGUUCUGAUUUCCUCAUUAAGACUGACUUAACAUGAGCUAUUUAGUCAGCUGAGUUAUCAACUGAAGAAAGUAACCGGUGUUUCCCACUUAUUUUCUUCUGUGGUUGUUUGAAAACAGCCGUGGUGUGGACAGAGUUCAUGCAGCCUUGAUGGUGGUGUGUCCCCAGCUCCACGCACGCACUAAACCUUUAAUUCAUUUCAGCAUAAAUAAGUUAAUGAAUAUGCAUACAUGAAUAAAUUAACUGGCAUAGUUUUAGUCCUAUUGAAGUUUUAAACUCACCAAUUUAUCCAACUUCUCUGCACUGAGUUUUUAUUCAAGUGAACUAUUCCAGUCUUGUGACUUCUGAUAUAAUAAUAGUAACGACUAAUAUUUAUUAGAACUUUAGUUUACCAAGCACUCCACAUUUUAUUUUUACAUUUUGUCUUCACAAACCCCCAUGAGACAGGCAUUCUCACCACUCGCAGUGUUGAUUGGCAUGCAGAGGCUCAGGGGUUUAAAUGGUUUCACUGAAGCAAUGUGAUCCGGUAGGAUGUUGCUUUCCUAUUCCUCCUAAUACCACCGUGUUCAGACAUGGGCAGCCGAGUGAGAAUAGAUCAUUUCAUGUGUGUGUAUAGACGUAACCUACACUCACAGGCGGAAAGCUGUGCAGGCUGAGAAGUGAAGCCCUCGGCUGAAUGACCAACAACAGCGUUCUAGGACCCCUUGUCCUUGCUCCGCAGGCUACACCCCUCACAUCUCCUCUGAACCAGAAAGAAAACUCUGCGGUUGCUUCUCCCUUUGACAGUCAGCCACAGUUCUCUUCAAUGUUCUCCUGGGGACUUGGGUCAAUGUUCUCCCGUCAAAUCUUAGCCAGGCCCAAGAUUACUGUGCCC